rnacentral:rRNA from 1 species
ACUCCGUACGGGAGGCAGCAGGAUGGGGAAUAAUUGGCACAAUGGGCGCAAGCCUGAUGCAGCCAUGCCGCGUGUGUGAAGAAGGCCUUCGGGUUGUAAAGCACUUUCAGUCGUGAGGAAGGUAGUGUAGUUAAUAGCUGCAUUAUUUGACGUUAGCGACAGAAGAAGCACCGGCUAACUCCGUGCCAGCAGCCGCGGUAAUACGGAGGGUGCGAGCGUUAAUCGGAAUUACUGGGCGUAAAGCGCAUGCAGGUGGUUUGUUAAGUCAGAUGUGAAAGCCCGGGGCUCAACCUCGGAAUUGCAUUUGAAACUGGCAGACUAGAGUACUGUAGAGGGGGGUAGAAUUCAGGUGUAGCGGUGAAAUGCGUAGAGAUCUGAAGGAAUACCGGUGGCGAAGGCGGCCCCUGGACAGAUACUGACACUCAGAUGCGAAAGCG